AUUUCUCAAACAAGAGUUGAGUAAAUACCCAAAUUCUAAACAUUCUCAAAUCCACCACUUUGUAACUCAAGGUUAUUUUGUUAACAUAAUCUUGAGUGAUUUGUAAAAAUCCCUUUCAUAUUUUGAAAGGUAACUUGCUAAAUCCUUUCUGAAAUUGUAAGGUAAACCUGUGAAAAAUCCUUUCUGAAAUUGUAAGGUAAACCUGUGAAAAAUCCUUUCUGAAAUUGUAAGGUAAACCUGUGAAAAAUCCUUUCUAGGUAGAAAGGUAGAAACCGUGUAAAGAUCAAGAUUGAUCCAUGAAAACCAAGAACGAUCUUGGUU
rnacentral:lncRNA from 1 species